GGGCAGCGCGGGCGGAGACGUGCCGAGGUGUGAGCGCUGCCCUGGGUGCGGGUGGCACAGCGAGAUGCGGAUGCGAGCAGGGCUGAGCGUAUUGAGCGCUGCCAGGCGGUGCUUUGAUGUGUUCUCCUAACUGGAGGCCAGCAGCUGUGAAGACAAGCAUCACCUCGGACUGUAAUACCUGAGGAGUUCCAGCGGAGCAGAGUGGGUGUCCAUCGAGCAAAAAAGGCAGUGGUGCAGCAGAGAGAAGCGGUGCAUGUCCUGCACACAGGGAUUGUUCAUUCAGAAGUUACAGAAAGGGGAAGGAACCAGGGGCAACCCAGAGAGCUCUUAUCUCAUCGUGGAUCUUCUGCUCUGGAUCUGAAACUCAGCAAUGCACUCCAAAUAAGCACUUGGAAAGAGCUCCUAAGAACUUUAUGUCCCCGCCUCGGAGAGACAACUUAAUAAAAACUCCUAAAUGAAACACAUAGAAGUGUGAACGUUAAUCAGUGCAAACAAUCAGCCUUUUCAAAAUAUUUGUAUGAGACAAUUUUAUAUCAAGUUUUUUAUCGUUACUCUAAAAAUUAUCCCAGGUAAGUGAUAUUUUUAAUUAUCAUAAUUAAUACGUCUGUAAAGUAUUUUGGUCAGAAGUAUCAUUAAGCCAGAUUCUUGGAUGAACGAAUGCAAUGGAAUGCAAUAUGCAAACAUACACUUUCCCUCCCUCCUCAGCAUUACUGUGAGGCUGCUUCAGGUGGGGUCUUUUUGAACAACAGUUGCAUUUUCUGAAGCUCACAACAGCAGCUCCUUCAGAUCGCUCCAUCUGUCUUUCAGUUCUGGACAUACAGAAAUGGAGCUUCAGCAGAUGGUUACUAACAUCAGAAGUGCAAAAAUUAUCUUCUGGAAAGAACAUAGCUCUGCAACAGCUGCCUCUUUCAGCGUGGAAAUAAAGGCUCUAAUGGAGCAAACAGGGAGGCACAGAGAUGCUCCUGCUCAGUGACAAGCCUUGCACGUUGUGGCCUAGAUCUGGCUCCCUUUUAACAUAGCAUAAAAAAUUCACAACCUCAGAUGAACAGGAACAAAUCUCAUGUGAAAGCCUCAGAGGUCUAAGCAGCAUGGAAGUCUCCACUUUGGAAGCUUACUGAGGACACUGCACGUACCCAAAGUAAGUCCCAUCUCUGUCGAUGAAGUAUCUGCCUUCGGCGUCCGUGGGGAUGUAAUGCCUUCCGCUGAACAUCGCCGCCAACAUCGUGUC